rnacentral:rRNA from 1 species
GACGAACGCUGGCGGCGUGCCUAAUACAUGCAAGUAGAACGCACAGUUUAUACCGUAGCUUGCUACACCAUAGACUGUGAGUUGCGAACGGGUGAGUAACGCGUAGGUAACCUGCCUGGUAGCGGGGGAUAACUAUUGGAAACGAUAGCUAAUACCGCAUAAUAUUAAUUAUUGCAUGAUAAUUAAUUGAAAGGUGCAAUUGCACCACUACCAGAUGGACCUGCGUUGUAUUAGCUAGUAGGUGAGGUAACGGCUCACCUAGGCGACGAUACAUAGCCGACCUGAGAGGGUGAUCGGCCACACUGGGACUGAGACACGGCCCAGACUCCUACGGGAGGCAGCAGUAGGGAAUCUUCGGCAAUGGACGAAAGUAUGACCGAGCAACGCCGCGUGAGUGAAGAAGGUUUUCGGAUCGUAAAGCUCUGUUGUAAGAGAAGAACGGGUGUGAGAGUGGAAAGUUCACACUGUGACGGUAUCUUACCAGAAAGGGACGGCUAACUACGUG